UAACCAAUUUUUGGUUGGCAGUUCAGCACUGUGGUGCAUGAAAUUGGCCACUCGCUGGGCGUUCAUCACGAACACUCGCGCACUGGUCGUGAUGCCGCCAUCCGAGCGCUGUACGAUAAUGGGCUAACAGAAGAACUCAGUAACUUCCAGGUCUACGAAACUAGGAAUUUCAACACCGAAUAUGAUUAUUACUCCGUUAUGCACUAUGGACCGAUGACGUUUUCAAAGAACGGGGAGAGCACACUAGCUCCUACCAACCCAAUGGCCAAAGGCUUGAUGGUCCUGCCUCGGUCAGGCCUCUCCUUCAUGGACAAGUUGCUCUUCAAUGCGAUGUAUGGAUGCACUGGACUCUGGCUCUUACAGUGCCAGCUGACAGAGACUCCCUG
rnacentral:lncRNA from 1 species